AAUAAAUGACGUCGUUGACUUUUUUUUUCACAUAUUUGACCAUUCGUUUUAUUCAAAAAAUUUACGUAAUUAUAAUUUAUUUUGUUAUGAGUUGUUUUAUCACUCAUAGUACUUUAAGCGUAAUUUAUAUCUUAUAUAUUUGCAUAAAAUUUUUGAAUAAGACGAAUGGUCAAAAAUAUGAGAAAAAGUUAACGGCGUCAUCUAUU
rnacentral:pre_miRNA from 1 species